ACGCGUGGAACCUUACCAGGUCUUGACAUCCCUCUGACCGCUCUAGAGAUAGAGUUUUCCUUCGGGACAGAGGUGACAGGUGGUGCAUGGUUGUCGUCAGCUCGUGUCGUGAGAUGUUGGGUUAAGUCCCCGCAACGAGCGCAACCCCCUAUUGUUAGUUGCCAUCAUUCAGUUGGGCACUCUAGCGAGACUGCCGGUAAUAAACCGGAGGAAGGUGGGGAUGACGUCAAAUCAUCAUGCCCCUUAUGAC
rnacentral:rRNA from 1 species